GAAAUGCGAUAAGUAAUGUGAAUUGCAGAAUUCAGUGAAUCAUCGAAUCUUUGAACGCACCUUGCGCUCCUUGGUAUUCCUUGGAGCAUGCCUGUUUGAGUAUCAUGAAAUCUUCAAAGUAAAUCUUUUGUUAACUCAAUUGGUUUCUACUUUGGUAUUGGAGGUCUUUGCAGCUUCACACCUGCUCCUCUUUGUUCAUUAGCUGGAUCUCAGUGUUAUGCUUGGUUCCACUCGGCGUGAUAAGUUAUCUAUCGCUGAGGACACUGUAAAAGGUGGCCAAGGUAAAUGCAGAUGAACCGCUUCUAAUAGUCCAUUGACUUGGACAAUACUUUUAUGAUCUGAUCUCAAAUUAGACAAGAUUACCCGCUGAACUUAAGC
rnacentral:misc_RNA from 1 species